AGUCACUACCCCUCAACCACCAGGUCCCUCACCACCAGGUUCAGGAACAGUCACUACCCCUCAACCAUCAGGUCCCACACCACCAGGUUCAGGGACAGUCACUACCCCUCAACCACCAGGUCCCUCACCACCAGGUUCAGGAACAGUCACUACCCCUCAACCAUCAGGUCCCACACCAACAGGUUCAAGAACAGACACUACCCCUCAACCAUCAGGUCCCACGCCACCAGGUUCAGGAACAGUUAUAACCCCUUAACCAUCAGGUCCCACACCACCAGAUUCAGGAACAGUCACUACCCCUCAAACAUCAGGUCCCACACCACCAGGUUCAGGAACAGUCACUACCCCUCAACCAUCAGGUCCCACACCACCAGGUUCAGGAACAGUUAUCACCCCUUAACCAUCAGGUCCCACAUCACCAGGUUCAGGAACAGUCACUACCCCUCAACCAUCA